rnacentral:lncRNA from 1 species
CAUAUUCAGCCCCUUGAUUUGUCCGCAGAAAACUGGAACUGAUGUUUAUAAAUAGGGAAAUUCUAAGUGGCUCAAGUCCUUGAUUCAGUAUUGAUUGUGACAGGGGCCGAUCAAUCAGCCCGGUGGCCAGGGAAACGCCAGAACUUGUUCCAUCGAGAGCUUUGAGAGUACCUAUCAGAGAGAGGUCUUUGGAUGGCAACAGCGGGAACAAACUUGGCAGUGAGGUACAUUAACUCCAAAAGUUCAAAUUUUCAGGAAUGACGGCUGAGACGGGACACUCAUGCCCUCACUCCUAUGUAUUUACCCGCAUACGCGAAUGCAUGUUUUUAAAUGCUCUGUCAACUCUUUCAGCACGACAUUGCUGUCUUGCGUAGAGGAGCAGCACUGAUCCCCAGGCCCUGUGGUGACCCGACCCCUAGAUCGGGGAAGAGGAAGACCAGGCCAGGGGAGCCACCUCAGUCCCUCCAUCUUCUCCGCAGAGGAUUUGUGAACAGUCUUACUCACAUUUUCCAACUCUGGCUAAUGGGACCAUUUGGCAAAAUUCUUCAGUGGAAACAGAGGCAGCCGAUUUAGGAUUUCUGAAGCUCCUUUCUUCUCAAGAGCCCGGGGGCCUUGCCUAGGAUUUCACCAUGCAUUGAGGGAAGGUAAAUAUUUUUCAAAUCAUAAAAAGAGAAUUGGUUUAAAGACAGUGGCCAAGAAAAUAGUAAAGGAGCACAAGUACAG